UACAUUUGUAUGUUAUACGUUUACCUUUAUGCUUUUCUUUUCUCUUUGUAGAAAGGUCUCACUGUAAUUUGGGAUGCUUUUAAUUCUCAAGAGGAAAUAUUUAUUGAGACUGAUUUUGAAUGUGUUUUUUCUUGUGCAUAUGCUCCAUCAACUACUCUUGUUGCUUGCUGUGGAUUGAGCCGAAGAUGUAGCAUUUAUGAUGUAAAUUGUGGAGUUAAUUUUAUAAAAGAACCAAAGAAAGAAUUUUUACUGAACAGUAAAUACAUUACACAUUGCGUAUUUGUUGGAUCAGACCAGCAGGUACAUAUUAUUUUUGUAAUAUGAUGGAUUUUUGUGUUCUGAUUCUCUGUCAUGAAAUUUGUCUAUUUAUUGCAUGCACAUGUACUAUACAUAUGAUGGAUGGGUAUAAAUAUUGGGUAAUGGCUGACCUUUUGGUAUCCUUUUUAUUUAGAGAGGUUUGACAAUGGCUAAGUUUAAGGGUAUUAAC